rnacentral:rRNA from 1 species
AGGAGUUUGAUCAUGGCUCAGAACGAACGCUGGCGGCAGGCCUAACACAUGCAAGUCGAAGGUGAAGCCACCCUCGGGUGGUAGAAACUGGCGCACGGGUGAGUAACGCGUGGGAAUUUACCUUGGGGUGGGGGAUAACCGCUGGAAACGGCGGCUAAUACCGCAUACGCCCUGCGGGGGAAAGAUUUAUCGCCCUGGGAGGAGCCCGCGUUGGAUUAGCUUGUUGGUGGGGUAAAGGCCCACCAAGGCGACGAUCCAUAGCUAGUCUGAGAGGAUGAUCAGCCACACUGGGACUGAGACACGGCCCAGACUCCUACGGGAGGCAGCAGUGGGGAAUAUUGGACAAUGGGCGAAAGCCUGAUCCAGCCAUGCCGCGUGAGUGAAGAAGGCCUUAGGGUUGUAAAGCUCUUUCACCCGUGAAGAUGAUGACUGUAGCGGGAGAAGAAGCCCCGGCUAACUCCGUGCCAGCAGCCGCGGUAAUACGGAGGGGGCUAGCGUUGUUCAGAAUUACUGGACGUAAAGGGCGCGUAGGCGGCCUGCCAAGUCAGGGGUGAAAGGCCCGGGCUCAACCCGGGAACUGCCCUUGAAACUGGCAAGCUAGAGUCCGAGAGAGGAUGGCGGAAUUCCCAGUGUAGAGGUGAAAUUCGUAGAUAUUGGGAAGAACACCGGUGGCGAAGGCGGCCAUCUGGCUCGGUACUGACGCUGAGGCGCGAAAGCGUGGGGAGCAACAGGAUUAGAUACCCUGG